rnacentral:misc_RNA from 1 species
UAUUCUCAACUCCACCAGCUUUUGUGGCUGGCUCUUGGAGCUUGGAUGUGGAGGCUUUGCUGGCUUUUUCGGUCAGCUCCUCUGAAAUACAUUAGCGGAACCGUUUGCGAUCCGUCACAGGUGUGAUAAUUAUCUACGCCAGUGGGUUGCUCUCUGUCUGUUCAGCUCAUAAUCGUCCAGUGACAUGGACAAACUUAUAAUGAAC